CAGUGCCUCGGAUCGAUGCAGUUACUUGGCUGUCUCAAAGUUUUCAACACCUAGGAAAAAAACAGUUUCUCUUUCUGGCUUUUAUUCUCGAUAUUCUUUAGCUAAAUUUGUUUCACAAAUUAAAAAGAAGAAGGAGAAGAAGAAGAAGAAAAAGUGAAGAAGCAGUUUCUUGUUCCUGGUUCUAAGGACACUAGAAAGCCUACAUAGAAACCAGGGGACAUUGAUGACUGGAUCUAUGUAAUAAUGGACAAUUCUUUAUGGCCCUAAAGCAUACUAAUCUCACUGCAAGGAAUCAUACGUCCUUGACGAAUGUCACCCGUCCAGUCUGUUGGGAAACUAGUGACAGUGUGGGCAAGGAUAAGACACAAGGGACAUGAACCCUUGCAGCUCUGAGUUCUCAUGUAAGAGCCCAGCUAGCCAUGCUACCAUGCUCGAGACUCUGAGGGAAACUACAAUGAAACAGAGCAAGAUGCCCAAGAAGCCCCAGUUAUGAGGUUCAUAUGUUUCUACAGAAUCCUGAGGUGGUAAUUCAUUAUUUCUAACAUUUGAUUGGCAUCUCAUCUUUUAUA